rnacentral:rRNA from 1 species
UACGGAGGGUGCAAGCGUUAUCCGGAUUCACUGGGUUUAAAGGGUGCGUAGGUGGGUUGGUAAGUCAGUGGUGAAAUCUCCGUGCUUAACAUGGAAACUGCCUUUGAUACUAUCUGUCUUGAAUAUUGUGGAGGUAAGCGGAAUAUGUCAUGUAGCGGUGAAAUGCUUAGAUAUGACAUAGAACACCUAUUGCGAAGGCAGCUUACUACGCAUAUAUUGACGCUGAGGCACGAAAGCGUGGGGAUCAAACAGG